UACGAAGGGGGCUAGCGUUGCUCGGAAUUACUGGGCGUAAAGGGCUCGUAGGCGGACAGUUACGUCAGUGGUGAAAGCCCAGGGCUCAACCCUGGAAUUGCCUUUGAUACUGAUUGUCUUGAGUAUGGGAGAGGUAUGCGGAACUCCGAGUGUAGAGGUGAAAUUCGUAGAUAUUCGGAAGAACACCAGUGGCGAAGGCGGCAUACUGGCCCAUUACUGACGCUGAAGCUCGAAAGCGUGGGGAGCAAACAGG
rnacentral:rRNA from 1 species